rnacentral:rRNA from 1 species
GAUGAACGCUGGCGGCGUGCCUAAUACAUGCAAGUCGAGCGAACGGACGAGAAGCUUGCUUCUAUGCUGUUAGCGGCGGGCGGGUGAGUAACACGUGGCUAACCGACCUAUAAGACUGGGGUAACUUCGGGAACCCUGAGCUAAUACCCGAUAAUAGUUUGAACGGCAUGGUUCUACAGAGCAAAACCGUCCUGAUGUGCCUUAUACAUGGUUCCGCGCUGGAUUAGCUAGUUGGUAAGGUAACGGCCUACCAAGGCAACGAUGCAUAGCCGACCUGAGAGGGUGAUCGGCCACACUGGAACUGAGACACGGUCCAGACUCCUACGGGAGGCAGCAGUAGGGAAUAUUGCGCAAUGGGCGAAAGCCUGACGGAGCAACGCCGCGUGAGUGAUGAAGGUCUUCGGAUCGUAAAACUCUGUUAUUUGGGAAGAACAUAUGUGUAAGUAACUGUGCACAUCUUGACGGUACCUAAUCAGAAAGCCACGGCUAACUACGUG